AGUUCGCGUGGCAGUCGUCACCGUAUAUGUCGGGUGACGGGACCGGGGACACUAAGAGGCGAGGCGGUGUGGAGCGUCCCCUUCCCGCGCCCUUUUGAAACAAAUCCCACCUUCCUGCUUCCUCUGCUCUCCCAGUCUCAGCCAAAAGGCUCAAGGACAGGGAGGCCCUCCGCGUGCACCCUCCGCGGUGUCCUGCUGUGAGCACGUUCUAAAAACGCUUCUCUGGGAAGCAAGCCACACGUUUUCCAGGGUCAGAGAGCUUCAGGAGUCCCCGCUUGCCAAACAGUGGGUUGAAGGUAAAUACUUGAAGUUGUAAUCCAAGGUCAGGAAAACAGAAUCAAGAGGUCACAAUCCUUCUCUGAUGAUGGCUCAGAAAGCUGGAAGACACUCAACAUUGAAUCGUGGGGCUCCAUGCCAUGCUUGCUAGAAGAAACAGCCACCAUAAGUCCAUCUUUCAGAUCUCAGGUGAACAGUUUUAACAUCUACUAAUAAGACUUAAGUUGGUAGACACUGAAGAAUGAGGAGACAAAAGGUUCCUGUGACAAUAAAAAUAAACUGUCUCUCCAUCUGUGAAAUGAGGAAGCAGAACUAGAUUUCCAUGCUUCCUUCCCAUUUUAACAUUUUAUGGUUCUAUAUAAUAAACAAGGGUUGUGAUAAUCCAGCUAGAGAAGUUUCAUAAAACUCAAAUCUAAAAUCUUUUGCUGAAGAAAAUAUUUUCUGACUAGUUGAUUCUGCCAAACCAGUCCUGCAUGGUAUCGGGGAACACUGUCAUCGUACCUAGAGCGUUUGAAGAAUCCACACUGGAGAAGAGGGAAAGAGAAAGAGAAACCAAUUAAUCUCACAAAGAAGCAAGUGCAGUAAAUGGGAAUGUCUAAGCUUUCUGUUCAGCUAUGUCUACCUCUGGACUACGGGGAAAAAGACAUGAUUUUCUUUUAAGAAAGAACUAAGAGGUUGAAAUGAAAGAACAGCCAGGGGGAUCAACGGAAGAGAACAGCUGUAAAACUGGAAGAAAAGUCCAAUUUCAUCUUCUCUUUACAUUUUAUAACAAAUGUAGGCUACCUCUUUACUAACAAUUUAAGACUUUAUGAAAACAGUGCUUCCAUAUUUUAAAAUAAUCACUAUAUGUAAAAGAUCUAAUUAUCAGAUUAGAAUAUCAUUUUAAGAAUAAUUUUUAAAAGGCAUAAACCAAAGAUUAUUUCAUGCCCCCUCCCACUAAUAAAAUGCAAAUCAUGUCACAAGUAUUUUACUAAUUACUAUUUGAAUAUGCUGGAGUUCCAACAGGUCAAUUUAAUCUUUUUCUCUCCUCUGAGGCUCUAGUACACGUAUCACUCCUCUCAUUAGCUAGGAUGUAAUUUAUGUUGCCUGGAUUUGCUGUUGUGCUUCUAAUUAAGCUAUUUCAUUAAUAAAUCACAUAGUAACUGUUUCCUGCAAUAAAAAUCAUGCUGCAUAGGACUUGAGAAGUGUAUCACUACACUGAAUUUCAGAGCAGUCCCUAAUUUUUCUUCUUUAAAUUGUUAAUGUGUAUAUGUGUGUAUAUAUAUCAUUUAAAUAUUCAAUCUAAUCCAAAGUAUAUUUUUACUGAGAAUAUAUCUGAAAAAAAUUGAGAUUAAAUUUUUAAUGAAAUAUAUUACUUUUCAUGAAGUGAAAACAUUUAAUGAAAUAUAUUUACUUUUAAAAAAGGUGUGUGACUAAAAUGCAGUUUUGAAGAAUGAGAAAUAGUUAUUAAUAGAAUGGUUGAUUAAUGUGUUUAUUAUGUGACAUCAACAGUAACAGGACUUUUACGCUGAAUGAUGUUAUAAAAAUGCCAUGGAGCAAGAUAAAAUUAUAUGCAUAGUUAUCACUAAAUCAAUAGGCAAAAUGAACCAAAUGUUUUGUUCCAGGUCAUUUCUACAUGGAUUGAUUUAUUAUUCUGUGCAAAAAAAAAAAAAAAAAAGCCAAAGUACCUAUCUGUUACAAAAUAUGACUGCUGCCUACCCCAUUUAAACAAA